GGGACGACGACCACAACCCUGCUCGCGACUCCAACUUCUCCUGGGACUUCCUGUACAAGGCUCUGAAACCUGAGGAGGAUUUCCGACUACAGAGGCCCGUCGUGUCACCUGCUCAGCCCUCUGAGAUACCGUCUGGACAGAUGCCGGCAUCUAAUGUGUGAGAGGAAGCAAGCCGAACCAUCAUACGUCAUCAAAUCAGAUGCAGCAGGUCC